UCACACAAGACAAUCACUAGAAAAGAGGCGAGGCUCAUAGGGCGGUCAUCGAAAAGGAAGCGGAAGUGCAAGUAUCGAAAUGGUCGCAGCAAAGAAGAGUUUUGCCACUAAAAGGUCACUAAAAGAAGACAGAAAAGAAGAAAACUUUAACUGGGCAGGCGACAAAAGGUCAGCGCUGAUAGACGAAAGCUACUCAGGCUUCUAUCAAGAUCGGGACAAUUUGAUAUCAUGUGAAAAAGCAAGCAAAUGAGAGAACUUGCCUUGUCUUGAGUCAGUGUAAAAACAAUGUACAAGAAGACUCAUCAUGUACUUACAAUAUGAUAAAUAGUUAUCUUCUACAUCUAACAAGGCAGGUAAUAAUAUCAUACAAUUGAAUACAGAUGAUUCUAAAAUACUUUGUAAACUUUUCUUGAGUCACUCCAUGAACUUAGACAUAUUUAAAUAUAUAAUUUUAUUGAUUCUACUGACUUUCAACACUCUCAAUCAUCAUAGAAUCAGCAUUUAGCAUGAGAAUGACAUGCUAAAGCCAUCUCUAAAGAUGUUCUCAUCUGUCAUCUAAGUGUAUUACUCGAACCUUCUGUAAUGUGAUCAUUUUUUAUUUGUCUUAUUAUUAUGGCUGCAUACUCAUAUUCUUAUAAGUAAUUUUACGAAACUCAUCUUGAGAAUAUGCAAGACUCUUACAUAAUAUUGUUGGUAUGGCAAGGAGUCCUGUAAAACUGAUCUUUCACUAUAGGUUUACCUUCUUAUAGCAUAACAUUCCCACGACAUUCCUCCAGUUUAGUUAUCCUACUUUGCUUUUAUGCAUUAAAUCUUCAUCUCUCGUGUCAAUUCCCAGGAAGACAGACUCUAUACAUUAUAAUUUCUUAUAUUUAGUCUGAACUCGACAAGAGGGGCUUGCUCUGAUGGUAAGCAACCCCCACUUCCAACCGAGAGGUUGUGAGUUNNNNNNNNNNNNNNNNNNNNNNNNNNNNNNNNNNNNNNNNNNNNNNNNNNNNCACUUCCAACCGAGAGGUUGUGAGUUCGAGUCUCCCCAAGAGCAAAGGUGGGAAGUUCUUGGAGGGAAGGAUGCCGGGGGUCUAUUUGGAAACAGCCCUGGGGUAAGGUCUGCGUAAAUACUACCCUCCCUAGACCCUACUAAGUGGGAUUAUACUAGGUUGUACUUUUUUUUUAGUCUGAACUCAUUCCUCCAGUUUAGUUAUCCUACUACUUACUACACAUAUAUCUAAAUUUGCCAACUCAAAUAACUGACAAUUAAAAAAUGAAAAAAAAGGGUUGUCGGUGCACUAAGCUCACGCUAUGCGCGGGGUUCGAGGAAGGGCUGAACCACAAGGGUCUAUUGUAAGCAGCCUAGCCUUAUCCUAC
rnacentral:lncRNA from 1 species